rnacentral:rRNA from 1 species
UGGGGAAUAUUGGGGCAAUGGGGCGAAAGCCUGACCCAGCAACGCCGUGUGAGGGAAGAAGGUCCUCGGAUUGUAAACCUUUGUCUUAUGGGACGAUAAUGACGGUACCAUAGGAGGAAGUCACGACUAACUACGUGCCAGCAGUCGCGGUAAUACGUAGGUGACGAGCGUUAUCCGGAAUUAUUGGGUGUAAAGGGUGCGUAGGCGGGCUGUAAAGUCAGGCGUGAAAUGCAGGAGCUUAACUCCUGAACUGCGCUUGAAACUUACGGUCUUGGGUGAAGUAGAGGUAAGCGGAAUUCCUAGUGUAGCGGUGAAAUGCGUAGAUAUUAGGAGGAACACCAGUGGC